UACGGAGGGUGCGAGCGUUGUCCGGAAUCACUGGGCGUAAAGGGCGCGUAGGCGGCCUGAUAAGUAGGGGGUGAAAUCCUGCGGCUUAACCGCAGGGCUGCCUUCUAAACUGUCAGGCUUGAGCACAGUAGAGGCAGGUGGAAUUCCCGGUGUAGCGGUGGAAUGCGUAGAGAUCGGGAAGAACAUCAGUGGCGAAGGCGGCCUGCUGGGCUGUUGCUGACGCUAAGACGCGAAAGCGUGGGGAGCAAACAGG
rnacentral:rRNA from 1 species